CCUACGGGUGGCUGCAGUGAGGAAUAUUGGUCAAUGGGCGGAAGUCUGAACCAGCCAUGCCGCGUGCAGGAAGACGGCUCUAUGAGUUGUAAACUGCUUUUGUACAAAGGUAAACCUGAAUACGUGUAUUCAGCUUAAAGUACUGUACGAAUAAGGAUCGGCUAACUCCGUGCCAGCAGCCGCGGUAAUACGGAGGAUCCAAGCGUUAUCCGGAUUUAUUGGGGUUAAAGGGUGCGGAGGCGGAUUGAUAAGUUAGUUGUGAAAUGUCCGGGCUUAACGCGGGAACUGCCUCUAAUACUGGUGUUCUAGAGUGUAGAUGCGGUAGGCGGAAUGUAUGGUGUAGCGGUGAAAUGCGUAGAGAUCA
rnacentral:rRNA from 1 species